rnacentral:rRNA from 1 species
AUUGAACGCUGGCGGCAGGCCUAACACAUGCAAGUCGAGCGGAUGAAGGGAGCUUGCUCCUGGAUUCAGCGGCGGACGGGUGAGUAAUGCCUAGGAAUCUGCCUGGUAGUGGGGGAUAACGUUCGGAAACGGGCGCUAAUACCGCAUACGUCCUGAGGGAGAAAGUGGGGGAUCUUCGGACCUCACGCUAUCAGAUGAGCCUAGGUCGGAUUAGCUAGUUGGUGGGGUAAGGCCUACCAAGGCGACGAUCCGUAACUGGUCUGAGAGGAUGAUCAGUCACACUGGAACUGAGACACGGUCCAGACUCCUACGGGGGGCAGGAGAGGGGAAUAUUGGACAUGGGGCGAAGGCCUGAUCCAGCCAUGCCGCGUAGGUGAAGAAGGUCUUCGGAUGGAAAAGUACUUUAAGUUGGGAGAAAGAGCGUUAGGUUAAUACGUUGCUGUUUUGACGGUACCAGCAGAAUAAGCACCGGCUAACUACGUG